GUCAAGCCUACAAAGGCUCCACGGCGAUACCUUGUCACACAAAGCGAUGAAAGGACCGUGUUACUUGGCGAUAGUCUCGGGAGCUGGGAAGCACGCUUGAUCUGGAAUUU
rnacentral:rRNA from 1 species